rnacentral:rRNA from 1 species
UACGUAGGGUGCAAGCGUUGUCCGGAAUUAUUGGGCGUAAAGAGCUCGUAGGCGGUUUGUCGCGUUCUGCUGUGAAAACCCGAGGCUCAACCUCGGGCCUGCAGUGGGUACGGGCAGACUAGAGUGGCGGUAGGGGAGAUUGGAAUUCCUGGUGUAGCGGUGGAAUGCGCAGAUAUCAGGAGGAACACCAAUGGCGAAGGCAGAUCUCUGGGCCGUAACUGACGCUGAGGAGCGGAAAGCAUGGGGAGCGAACAGG